rnacentral:snRNA from 1 species
AACUGUGCAUGUAUAUUUGUCUAUUUGUGUAUUUGUAUACAUCCAGCACAUAGUUGUGCAUUCCUCCUGAAGCUGUGUGCUCACUCAAAGAGAAUGGCCUUCCCAGAAUAGAGAUGGACUGGUUUUCUCAGUUGAGGGUAGCUGCGCUCCCCUGUUAGAACCUCUCAAGGAAACAAACUCUCAAGGAAAUACGAGAAACGAAUGCCUUAGAUGAGACUCCUGCCCCAAAUGCAGGCUAGUUGGCAU